rnacentral:rRNA from 1 species
AUGAACGCUGGCGGCGUGCCUAAUCCCUGCAAGUCGAGCGAACAGACGAGGAGCUUGCUCCUCUGACGCUAGCGGCGGACGGGUGAGUAACACGUGGAUAACCUACCUAUAAGACUGGGAUAACUUCGGGAAACCGGAGCUAAUACCGGAUAAUAUAUUGAACCGCAUGGUUCAAUAGUGAAAGACGGUUUUGCUGUCACUUAUAGAUGGAUCCGCGCCGCAUUAGCUAGUUGGUAAGGUAACGGCUUACCAAGGCAACGAUGCGUAGCCGACCUGAGAGGGUGAUCGGCCACACUGGAACUGAGACACGGUCCAGACUCCUACGGGAGGCAGCAGUAGGGAAUCUUCCGCAAUGGGCGAAAGCCUGACGGAGCAACGCCGCGUGAGUGAUGAAGGUCUUCGGAUCGUAAAACUCUGUUAUUAGGGAAGAACAAAUGUGUAAGUAACUAUGCACGUCUUGACGGUACCUAAUCAGAAAGCCACGGCUAACUACGUG